AAACAGAAAUAAUUCGGUUUCGGCCCGCAUACAGAAGAGAUAAUUCUUCUCUGUUUA
rnacentral:tRNA from 1 species